ACCAUAUUAAUAUUUCAUAAAUACAUGUUCAUAAAGCAUAUGCAUAUACAAGCAGCCAAAUAUUAUGCUUCAUUUUCUAAUUUUCAGGUUUCACUUAUUAGAAUUACAUUCACUAUGCAUACCAAAACUCCUACAGUUUCCAUGUAACUACACACAAUCCCUAAUUGUUUGUGCAUAUCCCUCGGUGCUCCUUUAUCUCCCGGGCACUGAAUAGAAAAUUUAUAUAAUGACUGAAGUAUCAGUUAUUGUAACUAAAAGAAUGCAUAAUAUAACUGCUACACCCCACAUUUUGUGCACCCCUUGUAUCAAAGAAAAAUGGAACUAUUCCACUACUUUAGCAACAGGUUUGGUGUUAACUGAUUACUGCCAAAUUCUGACAAGGCUAUACCUAUGUCUUCUUGGUCUCUUUCAAAUGACAACACGAUUAAUGAGGUGCUAAAAUCAAGGGAUUAUGCCAGAGGCAUGCACCCAACUGUCUUAAGUGGUGGUUGUGAUUAGAAUUUCUAAUUUCCUUGGCUAAGAAUCCAAUUUCAAUCUGGACUUUUGUAGUAAUUAAUUCUUGUAAAUUGGGUUAUAUACAGUUGUAAGUAUGAAAAAAAUCUGUAAAUUAUCGAGAUUAAAGUGAAAAAAGGAACAAGGAAAAAAAAGAAAAAUUAAAAGUCACCUUAAAAAACCUUAUCCACAUCUGCAUAAUAUUUCAGUAGUGAUUUGGAAAGGACCAUAACCAAGAAAAGAUGAGGUGUCCAUAUACUAACUGUUAAAUUAUCACCAUCACCCCAAGUUUAUUAUACAAGCAAGCUAGUUAGAUCAUGGGAUUCAUGAACGACGCACAGAACACAACAAUUUCUUCAGAUCGAAGACAGUCUCGAAACUUUACAAAAAGUUAGGCAAGUGUGGUGAAGGAAAACUGUUAAACACUCAAUUUGGUAAUGAUAGAAAUGGGAUGCAAAAUUGUGAUGGAAAUGCUAACACGUCCAACAUUUGGUACGAGAGAAAAUAAAAGGAAUGGGAAAUAGAACUAAAUCCCACCCAUCAUUUCAAAACACUCCAAAUAUGAGGGAAAAUUGAAGAAAAAAUUAUAUAACAAUUAGUUGAAGUGCAAAAACUCUCUUUUACUCAUCUUGAAGACUUCAUUAUGUGUAGAAGAAAUUUCCUCCAUAUGACACUUUUAGAGUAAGAAAAUGAAUUUUAUCCACUACUUUUGGGUUUGUAAAUAUUUUUUAUUUUAUGAAAUUUCUGACAAAUAUGCCCUUCUCUAUUCAAAAGUGUUACCAAAUCCUCACUCUUCCUUUUUGCACAAAUUUCAUACCAUCAAGGGAUUGUCAUCAAACUAGGCAAAUCUGACAAGAAUGCCUAGUCCAUUUAGACAUUAUCUCUUUCUUUUUGCACGAAUUUCGAAAGAUAUUGGGAUUCUUGUCAAACUAGGCAAAGUUGACUAGAAUUUCUAGUCGACAUUAUUUCCUUACCUUUUUGUACAUAUUUCUAACCAUCUAGGCAUUCUUGUCAAGCUAGACCAAGUUAACAAGAGAUUUCAGUCCCUUUAUAUAUAAGAAGGUAAAUUCCAUAAACUCGACAUUUUUGUCUUCUUUCCUUUUCUGUUCUAACUAACAUUACAAAUCCAAUUGCCUCCGACUGUCCUUCCUUCCUAAAGAAAUGGAAAGAACAUACCUGUUACUUUCCAUUUCACCACUUCCACCCCUUCUACCAAAGACACCCUAAGGAAUUUAAAUUGAUGGAGGGCAUGCAAUUGAAAGCAGUAAUCACAAAGAUUUAUCACAGGAAACUCCAGUUCUUUCUAAAAUGGGACUACAACAAAUAACACGAAAUAGAUUGCCAAUAAACAUAAUGAAAUUAGAGCGUACAAUGAAACUGAUACUGUUUUCUCCCUUUUCCAGUCCAAAGGGUUUGCCCACAGUUAAUUAAGAGAAUUGACGGCACUAGUUUGUGGGGAGGUCUAAGAUGUUGCUCCUUAGUGGCAUAUGUAGUUAAUGUUCAAAGAUAAGUAAGAAUACAGCUUAAUAAACAACUGCUCAACUUCUCCAGGAAAAGAGAGGGGGAGAGUUGAAUUUACCGACUUCAGUUUCUCCAUCUUCAGAAGAAGUGGUCUGUGAAGUCUUUUCCAGUUCUUCUGGUUAAAUUUCAAUUUUAGAUCAGGCAUGAAAUGUGUACCAUAAUUUGGCUUUGCUAUUUGUUUCUGUAUACCCUAGUGUCCAUGACUCAAGUGUUGUAUAAUAGAUUGUCCAGUUGCAAUUUUAAAAACGGAUAUUGAAUUUCAGUUUUCAAAUUCAUAAUUUAUCAUCUCUCUUAAUUCCACUCUUUUCAAAAAACUAGAGCAGGUAAUUACUAAAAUGGCACAUAGAAUGAGAACAAAUAGGCAAAUCACAAAUUGCAAUCUUUAUCUCUUCAUGUAUUUUAGUCAUCCUCCGAGCAAUGAUACAUCGCCUGUGAUAAAUGCAAAGUGAUUAGACAAAGAUCGUAUACAUUGCAUUUCUUCAGUUUCAUUUUUCAGAAUUAGAGACAACUAACUUAGAAAAAAGGAGGAGUCUACACUCCGGUUUGGAUUGACAUUUGUCCCCUGGUUUAAAAAAUGUACGCACUGUGAAAUUGAUUUUCCAGAAGCAAGGAAGUUCUAGAAUCCUUCAGAAAGGAAUAAUAAAGAAUCACAAUAUGUGGGAGAUAGCUUUAGUGUUCAUUCCAACAAGUGAGAACUAUCAAAUAUUUUAAAUGCCCAUCUGUUUCAUUGUCAAACUUAUAUUUACAACAAUGGUUACAAAAGGUACCACAGUCGUUGACAAGAUUUACAUAGAGUUGCCAAAAAUUGAAGAAGCCUAUUCAAGAAAUUGAGAGAGCUUGUGAUAAGGAACAAUGAAGACCCGUGUGGCUGCUUCAUUUGCAGAAACUAUCAGCCUCUCUCUUCUCGUUCCAGCAUGUUUAGGUAGAAAGCCACAUAUAAUCAAGCAAUUGAAUACCAGAGUUAUAAAAGAACUACCAAAUGUGAACUCGUUAAUUAAUAAACUCAAAGAAGAUGACCCGAGGACGGGAAUAACAGGUAUAUUUUGAUCCACACACAACUUUGCCUACAUCCAUACUCCAAAAUACCAUAUAUGAGACCCGAAUCUAUGAUAUUAUCAGCCCAAUGAAUUCUUGUUAUUUAAAUGCGCAAGUGCAAUCAAGGGCAUUCCAUUCUGCGCAAGGAGCAGAAGUCUCGUACUAAGGCUGAGAUGCCUCACAUUUACAGACAUAUACAUACUUAUAUGAGUAUACGUAUAAAAGCAACACUUCAUGAAGCUAACAAUGCAAAAUCACAGCAUUAAUAUAUGUCUCACCAGUUCCAUUCCAGGAUCAUUGAUACCUAGUGUCCCAGCAUCACUUAUUAGGGCUACAUUUCACAAUCAUGUUAUCUCUUGAUAACUAUUUGUUCUUGUUGAGACUCAUUAAAUUUGUGAUAACUCAACUGAAAAUCUAAAUCACAAAAUCAGAAAAAAAAAAAAAAAAAAAAAAUCUCACACAACACAUACAUGUAUGCAUCAAAUUAAUAUUCCAUAGCAAACACAGAAAUUAGAAGUGAAUUACAGGUGGGGUGUUAAUACAAUAGCGCUGAAGCAACUUCCCAGAAUGCUUAGUUUCUUCUGAAAGUAAGAUAUCAGCUGAUUUACCAUACUCAAAACUCAGUACGCAUUAAUUAGAAUUUUUAUUUAGCCAAAACCAAGAAAAGAAAAUCCAAGAAAUACAACAUUAAAAGCUUCAAUAAAAUUACACUUCACGCAAUUAACUCACCUUAGAGUUAUAUCUUCAGAUUACCAAUUUACUCAUCUUUGCAAGAAAACAGCCAUGGGAGGUCGAAAUAAACACUGCACAAUUUCCUCUAAAUUUCAAGUCUUUCCUUCCAGACACGGCCCUUUGUCUAGGAAAGGGAAUCGGCCCAGAUCGCCAUGAAAUCUAGGCAUGAGCCCUACUUCUAACCGGCCAGGAUCGGGUGUGUCAAGC
rnacentral:lncRNA from 1 species